AAGAAUACUAGUUGUGCAGCUACUUCCAUGUAGCUGCUGCGCUCAAAAAGGAGCCCAGAGUGACAGUUUUCCUUGACGGUUGCCGUUCUGUUUGCUGUAACCGAUUUGCAACAUUUCAGGAAAAGACAAUU
ensembl:snoRNA small nucleolar RNA SNORA16B/SNORA16A family